rnacentral:rRNA from 1 species
GAGGAAUAUUGGUCAAUGGACGUAAGUCUGAACCAGCCAAGUAGCGUGCAGGAUGACGGCCCUAUGGGUUGUAAACUGCUUUUGUAUGGGGAUAAAGUCAAUCACGUGUGAUUGUUUGCAGGUACCAUACGAAUAAGGACCGGCUAAUUCCGUGCCAGCAGCCGCGGUAAUACGGAAGGUUCGGGCGUUAUCCGGAUUUAUUGGGUUUAAAGGGAGCGUAGGCCGGAGAUUAAGUGUGUUGUGAAAUGUAGACGCUCAACGUCUGACUUGCAGCGCAUACUGGUUUCCUUGAGUACGCACAACGUUGGCGGAAUUCGUCGUGUAGCGGUGAAAUGCUUAGAUAUGACGAAGAACUCCGAUUGCGAAGGCAGCUGACGGGAGCGCAACUGACGCUGAAGCUCGAAGGUGCGGGUAUCGAACAGGAUUAGAUACCCUGGUAGUCCGCACAGUAAACGAUGGAUGCCCGCUGUUGAUACCUAGUAUCAGCGGCUAAGCGAAAGCAUUAAGCAUCCCACCUGGGGAGUACGCCGGCAACGGUG